GACGAACGCUGGCGGCGUGCUUAACACAUGCAAGUCGAACGGAAAGGCCCUGCUUUUGUGGGGUGCUCGAGUGGCGAACGGGUGAGUAACACGUGAGUAACCCGCCCUUGACUUUGGGAUAACUUCAGGAAACUGGGGCUAAUACCGGAUAGGAGCUCCUGCUGCAUGGUGGGGGUUGGAAAGUUUCGGCGGUUGGGGAUGGACUCGCGGCUUAUCAGCUUGUUGGUGGGGUAGUGGCUUACCAAGGCUUUGACGGGUAGCCGGCAUGGGAGGGUGACCGGCCACAUUGGGACUGAGAUACGGCCCAGACUCCUACGGGAGGCAGCAGUGGGGAAUAUUGCACAAUGGGCGGAAGCCUGAUGCAGAAACGCCGCGUGCGGGAUGACGGCCUUCGGGUUGUAAACCGCUUUCGCCUGUGACGAAGCGUGAGUGACGGUAAUGGGUAAAGAAGCACCGGCUAACUACGUG
rnacentral:rRNA from 1 species